rnacentral:other from 1 species
GCGGGACUGCCCGGCACGAGCCGACAGAAUAUCCCUGAGGCUAUAAGCAAUCCACGGGAGCUGUCCCUGCUCUGGGGAUCGGGUUCGUCCCGAGAACCGGGGCAUACGGCCCCCACCUGACGUACUUGGCGUCGGCGGAUUUCAAGGCAACGACCCAUGGUGGUUCCGCC